rnacentral:rRNA from 1 species
CAUGCAAGUCGAACGGGAAGAGAUGAAGAGCUUGCUCUUUAUCGAAUCCAGUGGCAAACGGGUGAGUAACACGUAAACAACCUGCCUUCAGGAUGGGGACAACAGACGGAAACGACUGCUAAUACCGAAUACGUUCCACGGGCCGCAUGACCUGUGGAAGAAAGGGUAGCCUCUACCUGUAAGCUAUCGCCUGAAGAGGGGUUUGCGUCUGAUUAGGCAGUUGGUGAGGUAACGGCUCACCAAACCAACGAUCAGUAGCCGGUCUGAGAGGAUGAACGGCCACACUGGAACUGAGACACGGUCCAGACUCCUACGGGAGGCAGCAGUGGGGAAUCUUCCGCAAUGGACGAAAGUCUGACGGAGCAACGCCGCGUGAGUGAAGACGGCCUUCGGGUUGUAAAGCUCUGUGAUCCGGGACGAAAGAGCCUGAGGUAAAUAGCCUGAGGAAGUGACGGUACCGGAAAAGCAAGCCACGGCUAACUACGUGCCAGCAGCCGCGGUAAUACGUAGGUGGCAAGCGUUGUCCGGAAUUAUUGGGCGUAAAGCGCGCGCAGGCGGCUUACUAAGUCCAUCUUAAAAGUGCGGGGCUUAACCCCGUGAUGGGAUGGAAACUGGAAAGCUGGAGUAUCGGAGAGGAAAGUGG